rnacentral:rRNA from 1 species
UAGGGAAUCUUCCGCAAUGGGCGAAAGCCUGACGGAGCAACGCCGCGUGAGUGAUGAAGGUCUUCGGAUCGUAAAACUCUGUUAUUAGGGAAGAACAAAUGUGUAAGUAACUGUGCACGUCUUGACGGUACCUAAUCAGAAAGCCACGGCUAACUACGUGCC